rnacentral:rRNA from 1 species
AGAGCGAACGCUGGCGGCAGGCCUAACACAUGCAAGUCGAACGGACCCUUCGGGGUUAGUGGCGGACGGGUGAGUAACACGUGGGAACGUGCCUUUAGGUUCGGAAUAGCUCCUGGAACCGGGUGGUAAUGCCGAAUGUGCCCUUCGGGGGAAAGAUUUAUCGCCUUUAGAGCGGCCCGCGUCUGAUUAGCUUGUUGGUGAGGUAAUGGCUCACCAAGGCUACGAUCAGUAGCUGGUCUGAGAGGAUGACCAGCCACAUUGGGACUGAGACACGGCCCAAACUCCUACGGGAGGCAGCAGUGGGGAAUCUUGCGCAAUGGGCGAAAGCCUGACGCAGCCAUGCCGCGUGUAUGAUGAAGGUCUUAGGAUUGUAAAAUACUUUCACCGGUGAAGAUAAUGACUGUAGCCGGAGAAGAAGCCCCGGCUAACUUCGUGCCAGCAGCCGC